rnacentral:hammerhead_ribozyme from 1 species
CGGCGAAACGCCGGGGAUUCCCCGGUGUCGCCGUGGCGUGGUGGCCACGGCCUGACGAGCCAGCCGAGC